UGGGGAAUAUUGGACAAUGGGCGAAAGCCUGAUCCAGCCAUGCCGCGUGUGUGAAGAAGGUCUUCGGAUUGUAAAGCACUUUAAGUUGGGAGGAAGGGCAGUAAGCGAAUACCUUGCUGUUUUGACGUUACCGACAGAAUAAGCACCGGCUAACUCUGUGCCAGCAGCCGCGGUAAUACAGAGGGUGCAAGCGUUAAUCGGAAUUACUGGGCGUAAAGCGCGCGUAGGUGGUUCGUUAAGUUGAAUGUGAAAGCCCCGGGCUCAACCUGGGAACUGCAGCCAAAGCUGGCGAGCUAGAGUAGGGCAGAGGGUGGUGGAAUUUCCUGUGUAGCGGUGAAAUGCGUAGAUAUAGGAAGGAACACCAGUGGCGAAGGCGACCACCUGGGCUCAUACUGACACUGAGGUGCGAAAGCGUGGGGAGCAAACAGG
rnacentral:rRNA from 1 species